GGGAGGUACAAGGAGUAGCUGCUGCAGACACCAACUAGCGCCGGGGUAGGACACGUUGGUCGCGUGGUGCGUCGGAUAUUUAAGAGUUGGCCAGGUUUUCCUGUAUGGACACAGAAUCGAUGGCGAGCUAAGACACUGGCUUGGAGCCGAACAACCUCAGUUCAAG